AUGGGUUGCCUGCGGCGCCGGCCGGAGCCGGCGGCCAUCGACAUCACCUGGGUGUCCUGCCGGGGCGUCAGGUCGUCGCUCCCGUUCCACACGCCGUGCCUCUACGCCUCCGUCUGUCUGACGCCGUCGUCCGCCCGCAAGAACGUCCGCCGCCGCCGCGUCAAGACCCCCACCGACCGCGCCGGCGGCGAGAACCCCGAGUGGGACGAGCGCCUGCGCCUCCCCCUUCCCGACGACGCCUCAGAGGACGAAGCCGCGGGGAAAAAGAAGGACGGGCACGUUGACAACCACGACGGCGUCCUUCUCGUGCGGUUCGAGCUCAAGGCCGAGGUGGCCGUCCUCGGGGACGUGCUCGCCGCGUCGGCCGUCGUGCCGCUCUCCGACCUCGUCGCCGACGGCAGGACGCGCCGCGUCUCCUACCAGCUGGCCUCGUCCGAGGACCGCAGGCAGCCCAACGGCGUCAUCUCCUUCUCCUACGCCUUCCACCACGGAAGCACCGUCGACGACGACCAGGAGGACCGCAGCAGCGACGGUGAGCCCGUAUCGCCCGCUAGCCCGGCCCCUCCCCCGCCGCUGCCUCAGUCGACGGCGUCGUCCUCCGGGAUGUACCCGGUGAUAGACUGGGGGCCACUGGAGCACCUCGCGGUUUACCCGCCGGUGAACAACGACACGGUCACGUCCUCAAGCUCAUCGGAGCCGAUUGCGGUCUACCCGCCGUUGCAGGAGACAUCGAGCCGUGGAAUUUACCCGACGGUGGGCGAGCCGGAUAGCAGUUUGUACCCCACAGUAGACUUUGCUCCGGUGAGCUGUUACCCGCCGAUGACGGCGCCGUACUACUACGGUGGUGGUUUCGGGUGUCCGGCAGCUCCUGCAUGGGACGGGCGAUGUUUGUACGGUUGA
rnacentral:rRNA from 1 species